GGUGAGCGGCGGGCGGGGAUGGCGGAGCAGUGGGAGCUGGACGAGGAAGGUAUCCGCCGCCUGGGGGCGCUGACGCUGGAGCAGCCGGAACUGGUGGAGUCUCUUUCAUUGCAGGGAUCUUAUGCUGGAAAAAUCCAUUCCAUUGGUGAUGCCUUCAGAAAUUUUAAAAAUCUCCGAUCCUUAGAUUUAUCAAGGAAUUUGAUCACUAGCCUUAAGGGAAUCCAGUAUUUAUGUUCACUCCAAGACCUGAAUUUAUAUUAUAACAACAUUCCUUCAUUAGUGGAAGUGUCCCGUCUACAACCGUUACCCUUCCUCAAAGAACUGGAUUUGAGACUUAAUCCUGUUGUAAGGAAAGAUACAGAUUAUAGGCUCUUUGCUGUAUAUACACUAUAAACUCUGGAGAAAUUAGAUGACUGAACUGUACGUGAAGGUGAGAGAAAAGCUGCCAAGCUGCAUUUUAGUCAGUUGGGCAACAGUGAAAAUUUUCUUUUAGAGGUGGA